rnacentral:rRNA from 1 species
UACGUAGGGUCCAAGCGUUAUCCGGAAUCACUGGGCGUAAAGCGUGCGCAGGCGGUUCGCAAAGACAGGUGUGAAAUCCCCGGGCUUAACCUGGGAACUGCGCUUGUAACUAGCGGGCUAGAGUGCGGCAGAGGGGGGUGGAAUUCCACGUGUAGCAGUGAAAUGCGUAGAUAUGUGGAGGAACACCGAUGGCGAAGGCAGCCCCCUGGGUCGACACUGACGCUCAUGCACAAAAGCGUGGGGAGCAAACAGG